GACGUAGGGAGCUAGCGUUGUUCGGAAUCACUGGGCGUAAAGCGCACGUAGGCGGAUGUGUCAGUCAGGGGUGAAAUCCCGGAGCUCAACUUCGGAACUGCCCUUGAUACAGCACGUCUUGAGUCCGGAAGAGGUGGGUGGAAUUCCUAGUGUAGAGGUGAAAUUCGUAGAUAUUAGGAAGAACACCGGUGGCGAAGGCGGCCCACUGGUCCGGUACUGACGCUGAGGUGCGAAAGCGUGGGGAGCAAACAGG
rnacentral:rRNA from 1 species